rnacentral:rRNA from 1 species
CCUACGGGGGGCAGCAGUAGGGAAUCUUUCACAAUGGGCGAAAGCCUGAUGGAGCAACGCCGCGUGCAGGAUGAAGGCCUUCGGGUUGUAAACUGCUUUUAUAAGCGAGAAAUAUGAUGGUAACUUAUGAAUAAGGAUCGGCUAACUACGUGCCAGCAGCCGCGGUCAUACGUAGGAUACGAGCAUUAUCCGGAGUGACUGGGUGUAAAGAGUUGCGUAGGUGGCAUAAUAAGUAGCUAGUGAAAUCUGGUGGCUCAACCAUUCAGACUAUUAGCUAAACUGUUAAGCUCGAGACCGUUAGAGGUAACUGGAAUUUCUAGUGUAGGAGUGAAAUCCGUAGAUAUUAGAAGGAACACCAAUAGCGUAGGCAGGUUGCUGGGACGGUUCUGACACUAAGGCACGAAAGCGUAGGGAGCAAACGGGAUUAGAUACCCGAGUAGUC